UUCCAUCUUUACUUUUGACGGCAAACGAGGUUUUGUUUUUCCUGUUGUUCUCAUGCAUGUUUUCUUUUCAUUCUCAUGCAUAUUAACUUUUCGUUUUUUCUGUGUUUUUGGUCCCUUUGCUGUUGUCCAUCUUUUGUUGAGCGGAGAAGUUUUGACUAUUACUUCCUUUUAUUGAUGUUUUCCUAGUAAGUCAUGGUUGUUUGUUUGGUGUUUUUGAUGUUCUCAUGGAUGUUUGCUUUUCGUUUCUCAAUGUUAUACAUUUUAAGUUAUAGAAUCAAUGUUAUAGUUGUUUGUUUCAUGUUUUUCCUUCCUUACUGAUUUUUCUCGCUUUGUUUUUGUUUUCUUUCUGAUUUUCCCGCUUGCAAGGUGGUCCACGAAAAAACAUCCAGCAGGCGAGUUUCUUUCUUUGUGCUUUAUUUUAUUUUAUGCAUGUUUGUGCUUGCUUUGUUGCUGACUCUGGAACUUGCAUGAGCAUUUUGAUUUGUAACUAAUGGCCUGCCUUUGAUUGUUUCUGGUCGUCACAGUUUUCCAUUUACAAGAUGAUGCAGGAAGAAGCAUCUAUAUACAAUCUAAUAAAAGAGAAGCCCCAUGAAAUCCCUAUAAUGAACUAAUCAGAAAAUGUUCACAGAUCUGUGAGGUGUGGGAGAACAACUAGCCACUGUAAGAACCUUGCUCUGGAGUAUGAGAAAGCUGCUUCUAUCUCGAGUAGUCAUGAUCCUCCUAUUGUUUUGGCUAAAGUAGAUGCCAAUGAGGAGAAGAACAGGAGGAUGGUUUAAUGUAUAUUUUUAAGAUACUGAUAUAAAAGUAUGGGCAGCAGUGAGAUGGAUAAAACUCCAAAAGAGAAGGAGUCAAAGACACCGCCACCACCACCUACGUCACAGGAGCAGUCUUCGACCACCAGCAGUGGAACAAUUAAUCCUGAGUGGCCUGGCUUUCAGGCAUAUUCUCCUAUAGCUCCACAUGGUUUCUUGGCAUCAAGUCCCCAGGCUCACCCUUAUAUGUGGGGUGUCCAGGUAGAAGCUCUUAGAUUUUGCUGAACUCAAGGACAACUCUAUAUCUUUCUUUGACAUUGAGAAACAUGAAACUGCCAUUUUCCGUUGGUCUAGAGCUACAACCAGAGCUGCCAAGGAAUUGAAUAGAGCUUUACAAAAUUGAUAGGUUAUUUUGCCCUGGAAUGGAAUUGGUGGAAAGGGGCUUCCCAUUGAUAUAUUUUUUGACUCUGCAUAAGGUUGUACAAAUAGAAUGCCUGAAAUUUUGUAAUACAUUCUGAAGAAACUCACUCUGUCUCAACAAGUGAGCUGCAAAUAGCUCUUUUCUUCAAAUGCGGUAACACUUCAUGGUCACAUCCAAUGGUAAUUGUGACAACCACACAGGUUGAGAGCAAAAGGCAGAAUAUUGAGAUUUGAGAGGCAAGUGACUACCUAUAUUAUUUCUUACAUUGCAUUCCUUUAUUCAUAUCACCUAAUGCCUCUAAUACAGAUACGUAAUUUAGUUUCACAGUUUAUCUCAGACAUUUGCUUCAUUAACUUUGUGUUUAUAUUACUUUUUUGUGUUUUUCUUCUUGCUGCUUUACUAGAAUUUAUUUACACUUGUUCAUACAAUUAAUGAUGAGCGGACUUUUUUUUAA